CAUUCCUCUAGGAUCUUUUAUCAGGAGUCCUACAUUCUUGACUCCUGCCAGAUGGGGGCACUCACUGCCUUCUUAUUCCUCGUGUGCUCAGUGGACGUCCCUGAGAAGCGGGCUGACUCGCCACCAGAGGGCUUUGUCACCGCCCUUCAAACGAUCCUCAGGCACACAGACAGACAGACAGACAGAGGGAGUCCUGGAUGAAUGGCAAACCCUUCAGAUUCUAAUUUGUUUCUCAAUCAGUUGCUUCCUCGUGUGAAAUGAGGGGACAGACAGCUGAUCUUUCUGAGCUGCCCAUGGCUGGGACCACUGCCUCCAUUCCCAACACCCUGCUGGGGACCCCGCCUUCCAAAGAACAUGCCCCAGGCACACAGGUGAGCUCCCGCCAUGCACUCCCCGUGAAAGGGAAGCCGUCUGGAGGCAGUGUGGCACCUGAAGACGCUGGAGCUGCUGCUGUCAGGGACACACGCCCUGCCCAUUCAUCUGCCUUCUGCGCCGGGAGCCCCCGCAGAUGCGGAAGAUGCAGGGAAUGAUUCAGCCCCAGCCUUAAUGGUGAAAUUAGACCCAUUACAUCUUCUGGAGAAACUGGAAGGGGCUUGCAGUAGGUUGAAUGGUGGCCGCCCCAGAAGAUAUGUCCUUGGAACCUGCUAAUGAAACCUUACUUGAAAAAGGCAUCUUUGGGCCGGGCACAGUGGCUCACACCUGUAAUCCCAGCACUUUGCGAGGCCAAGGCCAGUGGAUCACCUGAAGUCAGGAGUUCAAGACCAGCCUGGCCAACAUGGCGAAAUCCCAUCUCUACUAAAAAUACAAAAAGUAUCUGGGUGUGGUGGUGGGUGCCUGUAACCCCAUCUACUCGGGAGCCUGAGGAAGGAGAAUAACUUGAACCUGGGAGGCAGAGGUUGCAGUGAGCCGAGGUCGCGCCACUGCACCCCAGCCUGGGCGACAGAGCGAGACUCCGUCUCAAAAAAAAAAAAAAAAAAAAAAAAAAAAAAAAAAAAAAAAAAAAGAGAGAGAGAGAAAGGCAUCUUUGUCAAUGUAUUUAAGUUAAGGAUCUUGAGAUGAGAUUAUCCUGGAUUGUCCAGUUAACCCUGAAUCCAGUGACAAGUGUCUUUAAAAGAGAUACACAGAGGAGAAGACAGACACAAAGAGAGAAGGUGAUGUGAAGAUGGGGGCAGAGAUUGGAGGGACGCAGCUACAAGCCAAGAAAACCAAGGAUUGCUGGCAGCCACCAGAGGCUGGGAGAGAGGCCUGGGUUGAGACGGCCUCAGAGCCUCCAGAGGGAGCCUGGUCCUGCUGACACCUCAGUUUUGGAGUUCUGACCUCCAGAACUAUGAGAAAAUAAAUUUCUGUUGUUUCAAGCCACCGAGUUUGUGGUAACUUUUCAUGGCAGACCUAGGAAACUAAUACAGGAAUGAACUUGGGGAAAACAACAGUGGGAAGGUCCUUGCCCAGUGGAGCCCUUCCUGGAUGGCACUGUCCACACCCAGGGCUUCAUUCCUUCUCCAAAGAGGCAGGAUUGGAGGGGGCCCUGAGGACUGAGAGUGGGAAAUGGCCCAGUCUGAAGUCUUCUGAGCCAGAGGUCUCCCAACGCCCCUUCCUUCUCUCCCUGGAGUCUCCCUUUGAAAGGGCAAACAUGAGAGAGAGUGGCUCAGUCCCUGGAG
rnacentral:lncRNA from 1 species